AGGGAGUAAGCAAAAAUGGAAAGAGCAGGAGGGAGAAUGGGCAGUCUUGGAAUUCCUACAUCUUCUGCCACUGGUGCGUCUUAAUGUUGUUUCCAAUCAAAGCAGAAUUGGAUAUGAAGAAGAUUGUUCGACACUCUAUGGCAAGGCGUGUUGCAGGGCAAAAGGUAAUGUGCUCACCAAUCAUUUUAAGGUGAACAAGAAGAGUAUUGAUGGAUAUUUCCACCAUUACAACAUUUCUCUUUCA
rnacentral:lncRNA from 1 species